rnacentral:rRNA from 1 species
GUCUAUGGUCAUGGCACCCUGAACAAGCCUGAUCCCAUCUGAUCUUGGAAGCUAAGCAGGGUCAGACCUGGUUAGUACUUGUAUGGGAGACCACCUAGGAACACCAGGUGCUGUAGGCA